rnacentral:misc_RNA from 1 species
GUAUUGAUUGCGUGUGAUCGCAAAUAAAAUAAAAGACAUUCUACACUGCAUCAAUGUUUGUGUGAAAACGCAAGCCCCCCUCCGAACAAGCCGAAAGGGGACCCACGCGGUGGUGCACAUAGGGGUGAGAUGGAUGUUUGAGAACGCUCGGGCGUGCACGACGAAAAAGUCAGCGACAGCCCUCGCGCCUCGGUUUUACGAUAAUGAUCCUUCCGCAGGUUCACCUACGGAAA